GUGCAAAGGUAGCAUAAUCAUUUGCUUCAUAAUUGGGGGCUAGUAUGAAUGGAAUUACGAAAAUUUUUCUUUCUUUUUUUUUUUUUAUGAAAUUAUAAUUAAUGUGAAGAUACAUUAAAAAUUAAAAAAGACAAGAAGACCCUUUUGAGCUUUAUUUUUAUUUUUUUUUUUAUUUAAAUUAUUAUUUAGUUGGGGCGAUUAAAGAAGAAAUAUUUUUUAUCUUCUUUUUUUUAUUUUGAACCAUUGAUUUUGGUUUUUAGAAUUAGUUACCAAAGGGAUAACAGCGUAAUUUUUUUUAAGAGUUCUUAUUAAAAAAAAAGAUUGCGACCUCGAUGUUGACUUAUAAUUUCCUUUUGGUGCAGUAGCUAAAAAGGGUGGGUCGGUUCAACCUUUAAAAUUUU
rnacentral:rRNA from 2 species